UAUUGGGGAAGACUAAUGACGGUACCUCCGGAAUAAGCUUCGGCGGAUAGGGUCCCAGCAGCCUCGGUAAUACGUAGGAAGCGAGCGUUAUCCGGAAUUACUGGGCGUAAAGGGCGCGUAGGUGGUCUUUCAAGUGAAAUGUGAAAUUUCACGGCUUAACCGGGAAGGGUCAUUCGAUACUGUUGAAUUAGAGAGCAGCAGGGGGAAGCGGAAUUCCCUGGGUAGUACUGAAAUGCGUAGAUAUCGGGAGGAACACCAGUGCGAAGACGGCUUCCUGGGCUGUUUCUGACACUGAGGCGCGAAAGUGUGGGUAGUCCACAGAAUUAGAUACUGAGGUAGUCCACACCGUAAACGAUGGUUAUUAGUUAUAGGGAGUAUGGACCCUCUGAGUGCCGCAGCUAACGC
rnacentral:rRNA from 1 species